GCAAACUCGUGCAGCAGCGCGGUAAUACGAAGGGUGCGAGGCGUUGUUCGGAAUUACUGGGCGUAAAGGGUUCGUAGCGGGACUUCAAGUCGAAUGUGAAAACCCUGGGCUUAACCUGGGACGUGCAUUCGAAACUGAGGUUCUUGAGUUUUGAGAGGGUGGUGGAAUUGCUGGUGUAGGAGUGACAUCCGUAGAGAUCAGCAGGAGCGCCGGAGGCGAAAGCGACCACCUGGUCAAGGACUGACGCUGAGGAACGAAAGCGUGGGGAGCAAACAGGAUUAGAUACCCUGGUAGUCACGCCGUAAACGAUGGUGACUAGAUGUUGGAGGCGUUUGACCUUUCAGUAUCAAAGUACACACGCUAAGUCAUCCGCCUGGGGAGUACGGCCGCAAGGCUAAAACUCAAAGGAAUUGACGGGGACCCGCACAAGCGGUGGAGUAUGUGGUUUAAUUCGACGCAACGCGAAGAACCUUACCUGGGUUUGACAUGCACGUGAAUACAGCAGAGAUGUUGUAGGCCCGCAAGGGACGCGUGUGCAGGUGCUGCAUGGCUGUCGUCAGCUCGUGUCGUGAGAUGUUGGGUUAAGUCCCGCAACGAGCGCAACCCUUAUCCUUAGUUGCCAGCAUUAAGUUGGGUACUUUAAGGAGACCGCCGGUGAUAAACCGGAGGAAGGUGGGGAUGACGUCAAGUCCUCAUGGCCCUUACGUCCAGGGCGACACGCGUACUACAAUGGCCAAGACAAAGCGAAGCGAUACGGUAACGUGGAGCAAAACGCAAAAACAUGGUCUCAGUUCGGAUUGUGGUCUGCAACUCGACCACAUGAAGUUGGAAUCGCUAGUAAUCGCGGAUCAGCAAGCCGCGGUGAAUACGUUCCCGGGUCUUGUACACACCGCCCGUCAAACCACGAAAGUUGUCUAAACCAGAAGCUGGUGAGGUAACCCGCGGGAGCUAGCCAGCCAAGGUGUAGGCGAUGAUUGGGGUUAAGUCGUAACAAGGUAACCAAUC
rnacentral:rRNA from 1 species